CAAACAGCAGGGGGGCUUGCCUACUUUCCAUUGCUGAGUCACACAGGCCUGGGGCAGUUUUUGGCAUCCAGCUGUGUGCCUCUGUCUGUGCAUGUGUGCAUUAGUGCAUGCGUGUUUGUAUUUGCCUAGUGUGGGCAGGUGUAUAUAUAUGAUUGUGUAAAUAGAUUUCAUGAUUUUUGUGUAUACUUUCAACGGCACACAUACAAAA